GAUUUAUGCAAAAUUAAUUAGAAUGAAUAUAAUGAAUGCAUAAAUAUAGAAUUUCUAUAGCCGCAGCCAAUGGAAAAUGCUGAAAUUAACUGAACUACGAAUAAACCCAUCUCCACAUCCAUUCAAAGUAUCAAACUUAAAUUGCUGCGAAAUCAAACGAGCAAUUAAAAUAAAAAUCAAUCCAUACAAAUUCUUUUUAAGAACAUAAA
rnacentral:misc_RNA from 1 species